GAAUCUUGACCGUCAAAUUCAUCGAGCAUCUCAGUGCUGGGAUGUCGGUAGAUAAAGUUGACCCUUUGAAGAUCAAAUAUUACCGACUCAAGCUUGCAAUUGAGGGUUUAAGGGGGGAGGCAUAUUUUUGAGGUCGGUCUCAACCAAGGGUUGAUUGCAAUAUUCCAACCAAGAUGACCAUCCUCUGUUAUUUGAUGUAGGUUUUUUGUAUGACAUGGCUUUGCUUUUAUUCGUUUGGUUGUUCCAAGUUUUAUGUUCUGGUUUAUCUCACAGUAACUGCCGAGUCGUUUUUCAUUUCAUGUAUUUGUCCGUGGUAUUUUGUUCCCCAAUAUUCUGAUUAUGGUCAAUAUGUAAACAUUACUGUGGAGCUUAUUGCAUGUUUUCUUUAUUUUGUGGCCA